GGCCUGACAGCAAGACUCAGGAAAGAAUGCGGAAUAGACAGCCGGGCAGUAGACAGACCAGCUGAUGCCAAUCCAAGCUGUAAGCAGCCCAGGGUAGCCUUGCAGACUUCCUCUGAUUUCACUGGCUGUGAACUGGUACUCAUGCGAGGGAACAGUACACCCUGACCUGGGACACAAGCCAGGGGACCAGAACUUAGGAGCCUGUGAAGCUGCUUUGUUUUGGUAACUAUUUAAAAAGGACCCUGUGGACUUUUUCAUAACCAUGACACCAGGACACUGCUGGACCCUCUGUCCUCUGCUGGUGGAGUCCUCACUGCUAAGCCAUCAGGGAAGUCCAGAUGAUGACGACUCUUGAAAUAAAAAGAACCAUGGUUGGUACUCUGCACUUCCACUGCAGGGCGCGUGGGUUUGAUCCCUGGUCAGGGAACUAAGAUCCCGCAUGCACUGAGGCACAGUCAAAAAAGAAGAAAAUAGAGCCAUGGGUGAAGCCGAGCCACAGUAUUUUGCAUCAAGAGCCUGAAUCUGA
rnacentral:lncRNA from 1 species